GAGGGAAAAGGAGCAAUCCGCUUUGAGAUGGCCUCGCGUCCGAUUAGCUAGUUGGUGAGGUAACGGCCCACCAAGGCGACGAUCGGUAGCCGGACUGAGAGGUUGAACGGCCACAUUGGGACUGAGACACGGCCCAGACUCCUACGGGAGGCAGCAGUGGGGAAUAUUGCACAAUGGGGGAAACCCUGAUGCAGCGACGCCGCGUGGAGGAAGAAGGUCUUCGGAUUGUAAACUCCUGUUGUUGAGGGAGAUAAUGACGGUACUCAACAAGGAAGUGACGGCUAACUACGUGCCAGCAGCCGUGGUAAAACGUAGGUCACAAGCGUUGUCCGGAAUUACUGGGUGUAAAGGGAGCGCAGGCGGGAAGACAAGUUGGAAGUGAAAUCCAUGGGCUCAACCCAUGAACUGCUUUCAAAACUGUUUUUCUUGAGUAGUGCAGAGGUAGGCGGAAUUCCCGGUGUAGCGGUGGAAUGCGUAGAUAUCGGGAGGAACAUCAGUGGCGAAGGCGGCCUACUGGGCACCAACUGACGCUGAGGCUCGAAAGUGUGGGUAGCAAACAGGAUUAGAUACCCUGGUAGUCCACACUGUAAACGAUGAUAAGGAGGUGUUGGAGGAUUGACCCCUUCAGUGCCGC
rnacentral:rRNA from 1 species